rnacentral:rRNA from 1 species
UUUGAUCCUGGCUCAGGACGAACGCUGGCGGCGUGCUUAACACAUGCAAGUCGAGCGGGGAGACUUUGCGGCACCGACUANNNNNNNNNNNNNNNNNNUCCAGCGGCGGACGGGUGAGUAACGCGUGAACAAUCUGUCCCAGACAGGGGGAUAACGGAUGGAAACAUCUGCUAAUACCGCAUAAGACCACAUGCCCGCAUGGGUGUGGGGUCAAAGGAGCAAUCCAGUGAGGGGUGGGCUCGCGUCUGAUUAGCUAGUUGGUGAGGUAACGGCCCACCAAGGCAACGAUCAGUAGCCGACCUGAGAGGGUGAUCGGCCACACUGGGACUGAGACACGGCCCAGACUCCUACGGGAGGCAGCAGUGGGGAAUAUUGGGCAAUGGGCGAAAGCCUGACCCAGCAACGCCGCGUGAGGGAAGAAGGUUUUCGGAUCGUAAACCUCUGUCCUUGGUGAAGAGCAGAAGACGGUAGCCAAGGAGGAAGCCCCGGCUAACUACGUGCCAGCAGCCCGCGGUAAUACGUAGGGGGCAAGCGUUGUCCGGAAUGAUUGGGCGUAAAGGGCGCGUAGGCGGCCUGUUAAGUCUGGAGUGAAAGUCCUGCUUUUAAGGUGGGAAUUGCUUUGGAAACUGGCGGGCUGGAGUGCAGGAGAGGUUAGUGGAAUUCCCGGUGUAGCGGUGAAAUGCGUAGAGAUCGGGAGGAACACCAGUGGCGAAGGCGACUAACUGGACUGUAACUGACGCUGAAGCGCGAAAGUGUGGGGAGCAAACAGGAUUAGAUACCCUGGUAGUCCACACGGUAAACGAUGAAUGCUAGGUGUAGGGGGUAUCGACCCCUUCUGUGCCGGAGUUAACACAAUAAGCAUUCCGCCUGGGGAGUACGGCCGCAAGGUUGAAACUCAAAGGAAUUGACGGGGGCCCGCACAAGCAGCGGAGCAUGUGGUUUAAUUCGAAGCAACGCGAAGAACCUUACCAGGUCUUGACAUCCAGUAAAAACUGUCGAGAGGCAGUGUCCCUUCGGGGGUACUGAGACAGGUGGUGCAUGGUUGUCGUCAGCUCGUGUCGUGAGAUGUUGGGUUAAGUCCCGCAACGAGCGCAACCCUUAUUUUUAGUUACUAACGGGUAAUGCCGAGGACUCUAAAGAGACUGCCGGGGACAACUCGGAGGAAGGUGGGGACGACGUCAAAUCAUCAUGCCCCUUAUGACCUGGGCUACACACGUGCUACAAUGGCAGUUACAGAGGGCAGCGAAGCGGUAACGUGAAGCGAAUCUCAAAAAAGCUGUCUCAGUUCGGAUCGUGGGCUGCAACCCGCCCACGUGAAGUCGGAGUUGCUAGUAAUCGCGAAUCAUCAUGUCGCGGUGAAUACGUUCCCGGGCCUUGUACACACCGCCCGUCACACCAUGGGAGUUGGGAGCGCCCGAAGUCAGUAUCCUAACCGUAAGGAGGGAGCUGCCGAAGGCGAGAUCAAUGACUGGGGUGAAGUCGUAACAAGGUAACC